rnacentral:rRNA from 1 species
UACGGGGGGAGCAAGCGUUGUUCGGAUUUACUGGGCGUAAAGGGCGCGUAGGCGGCCACGACAAGUCACUUGUGAAAUCUCCGGGCUUAACUCGGAACGGUCAAGUGAUACUGUCGGGCUAGAGUGCAGAAGGGGCAACUGGAAUUCUCGGUGUAGCGGUGAAAUGCGUAGAUAUCAGGAGGAACACCAAUGGCGAAGGCAGCUCGCUGGGACGGUACUGACGCUGAGACGCGAAAGCGUGGGGAGCAAACAGG